rnacentral:rRNA from 1 species
UACGGGGGGAGCAAGCGUUGUUCGGAUUUACUGGGCGUAAAGGGCGCGUAGGCGGUCAGCACAAGUCAGUUGUGAAAUCUCCGGGCUUAACUCGGAAAGGUCAACUGAUACUGUGCGACUAGAGUGCGGAAGGGGCAGCUGGAAUUCUCGGUGUAGCGGUGAAAUGCGUAGAUAUCGAGAGGAACACCUGCGGCGAAGGCGGGUUGCUGGGCCGACACUGACGCUGAUGCGCGAAAGCCAGGGGAGCGAACGGG